UCUCAGCUCCAUCUGCAUUUUGAAGAAAAUAAAAGGCCUUGUGUAAUUAGUCGUGCACUAUAAAUCAAGAAGUGAAUCUAUUUUACCAUGCCCUAAUUGAAUGUGCUCCCUCUUUUUUCAGGCGCUGUAGACGGACACGGAGCUCCAUCGGAUGGUGAUAAAUGUGGAAUCCAGCACAAACAGUUUGAACCAGUCAGGCCGUGAUUGAUCAGCGCCCUCUGGGAUGUCAGUUUUCCCACCUCUUCAUCAUCCUCAAUCGUUUUCUCAAAGCAUUUGCUCCGGAGAUUUACACUUGCAGUUGAUAGAAAAAAGAAGAAGAAGAAGAAAAAAAUCAAGCAGCAGAGUGAGCUCUGCUGGUAAUUCAGGUUUGGUGUGUGGUACUUCAUUGAGGUCCUCUCUGAUUGUCCUGCAGUCGCGAUGAAUGUGACUCUUGGAAGCAAAAGGUGUAUCAGUUGGGAUCACUCGGCAUCUGGCCCAACGCUCUUGUGUCACAGUGACCCUCCUGUCGGGGCGAAGCAGCGAGGGCCACAGCAGGGGGUCUCCCCUGGAAAGCAACAUAAAUUUCAGAGAGAGAAUCAAUAGACUGUGAGAAUUGUGAGAGCUGCAUUGGUUUGGACUCUGUGGCUGUGAUGCAGGUGCUUUUGCUGUAUGAAUAUCUGAGGAUGCACAUGUGAUUUUUAACCAAUAAAAAAGAGCACCUAUAAUCACA